GCAGCCGCCGCGGGAAUACGUAGGUGGCAAGCGUUGUCCGGAAUUAUUGGGCGUAAAGGGCUCGCAGGCGGUUUCUUAAGUCUGAUGUGAAAGCCCCCGGCUCAACCGGGGAGGGUCAUUGGAAACUGGGAAACUUGAGUGCAGAAGAGGAGAGUGGAAUUCCACGUGUAGCGGUGAAAUGCGUAGAGAUGUGGAGGAACACCAGUGGCGAAGGCGACUCUCUGGUCUGUAACUGACGCUGAGGAGCGAAAGCGUGGGGAGCGAACAGGAUUAGAUACCCGUGUAGUCCCUGUCUCUUAUAC
rnacentral:rRNA from 1 species